rnacentral:rRNA from 1 species
UACAGAGGUCCCAAGCGUUGUUCGGAUUCACUGGGCGUAAAGGGUGCGUAGGUGGCAGUGUAAGUCUGAUGUGAAAGCUUCGAGCUUAACUCGAAAAUGGCAUUGGAUACUAUAUUGCUGGAGGUUGGAGGGGGGACUGGAAUUCUCGGUGUAGCAGUGAAAUGCGUAGAUAUCGAGAGGAACACCGUGGCGAAGGCGAGUCCCUGGACAACACCUGACACUGAGGCACGAAAGCCGGGGGAGCAAACAG